GGUUUAUACUGGGUCGUACUGGUUUAUACUGGGUCAUACUGGGCUAUACCGGGUCAUACCGGGUCGUACUGAUUUAUACUGGGUCGUACUGGUUUAUACUGGGUCGUACUGGUUUAUACUGGGUCAUACUGGGCUAUACCGGGUCAUACCGGGUCGUACUGGUUUAUACUGGGUCGUACUGGGAGGGCUCCCCAAGAACCACACGGCCUCUGUUCCCACACCCCCGUGGGGGGAGGGGCGUUUAUUCCCCCCAGUUUGGGGAGCAGGGUGGGGGAGGGGACACACAGGACACCCCUCCCCCCAUCAGCGCCGCCGCCGCCGCCGCACCACGGUCCAGGCGUCCGAGGGGGGAGGGGGCGUCCCGCACUCCAUGGCCUGGGGACAGUGACGUCAUCGGCGUCACAGACACGCCCAGUGACGUCAUCGGCGUCACAGACACACACAGACACACACCCCGGUGACGUCAUCGGUGUCACACACAUGUACACACUUGUGACGUCAUCAGUGUCACACACGCACCUUGAUGACAUCAUCAGUGUCACACACACACAGGUGAUGUCAUCGGUGUCACACACAUGUACACACUUGUGAUGUCAUCAGUGUCACACACGCACCGUGAUGACAUCAUCAGUGUCACACACACACAGAGGUGACGUCAUCAGUGUCACACACACGCCCAGUGACAUCAUCAGUGUCACACACCCCCCUUGAUGACGUCCUCAGUGUCACACAUGCCCAGUGACAUCAUCAGUGUCACACACACACACACACACACACACACACACACUUAUGACGUCAUCGGUGUCACACAUGCGCCCAGUGACAUCAUCAGUGUCACAGACACACACUCUGGUGACAUCAUCAGUGUCUCUCCCCACCCUUGGUGACAUCAUCAGUGUCACACACACCUUUGGUGACAUCAUCAGCGCCCCUCCCCUUUGCUCACAGGGGUCCUGGGGGUCCCACUCCCCCAAUUUGGUGACCCCAGCCCAGUUUUCCCCUUUUCCCCCACUCGAUGAUGUCAUCGGGACUGAAUGACA
rnacentral:lncRNA from 1 species